CAUUUUUGCACUAAAAAUUGCAUUUAUUUUAUAGCGCAUUUAAUUCACCACUGGACUAUCGCACUAGUUUUUACGAGUGCGAAAACGCUAAUAAAAGUGCGCGAUAGCAUCAAAUCAACUCGGUGUCUUCAGAGCACUUGUUCACCAUAGAUUGAAGAAAUAGUGCGCCGAAGACAUCAACCUGAUUUGGUGCAAUCGCGCACUUUUAUUUACGUUUUCGCACUUAUGAAGUCGCAGUUCGCAGUCCAGUGGUGAACUAAAUGCGGUAUAUUACACCCGAAUUGAUGCCCGAUAAUGCUAAAUACGCCCAAUACUGUUGCGAUUUUUUUCGGCUUAGACUUUGAUGCAAUAAAUUUCGUCGUACUCAUAUUUCGCUUUCGAUUUCGCUGUCAAUCUCAGUCGCAGGGUUUUUGCAACUCGCCCGAUAAUGUGACAGUUUUCGCCGGCCGUCUCAAUGUUUACCAUUAAAGCCUUUUGUUCUCGGUGCACCAGCUGGUCAUGUUUACACAACAAAACCAGCUGGUUCACCGAUGUUUACGUUCAUCCUUAUGGUCCACUGCACGAAUUUGUGCUGGCCUGCUUACUCUCACAGAAAAUUUGACAUUUGAGCGGUGCCGACACCGCUCAAACGUCAAAUUUCGUGUGAGAGUAAGCAGGCCAGAAUAAAUUCGUGCAGUAAUCCAUUGUUCUCGGCUACCAGCUGUUUAUGUUUUCAUAACAAGAUCAGCUGGUUUCGCCUGAAUCGGGAAAAGAAGGCGAAAAUGUGUCAUAAAUGUUAGGUUAGUACCAUAUUAGGGCGAGUUCAAAUUCGUCGCCAAAGUCUGAUUAUUCGUAAAAAAAUACAAUAUGCACCUUGUUUUUGAUUUUGACAGGAUUUCGCCGUGUUUACGUUUUGAUUUUAGUUUCGCCUUUUACUUUCGUAAACAAAACACCAGAAGUGGAAGGCGUAAUUCUUGUUUUUGUUUCGUGCGACGUAGAAUGGAAUUUCGCCUUCCACUCAAUCCGAGAUUUUCAAUAGUUAGAAAAGUGAUAUCAAAGAAAACUUGUGAGUCUAGCAUCUUUUCACUACUAUAAUCACUUAAAUUGUAUGCAAUUUUUCCGGAUUUGAGUACUUUUUCUACGUAUGACAUCCCAAUGACAUCCCUAUAGUCUAUUUUACGAAACGACAACAGUGUUGAUAUUGAUAUUAACACUCACGGGCUUGGGCGCAACCUCCUGUCAAAUUUUCAUUCAUGAAAUGAGCGAUCAGCUGAUCCGAAACGUCUCGUAAAAUGGCUCAUUGGCUUCUUUAGCGGUGUUGAGAUAAUUCCAUAUUCAGAAUCUGCAUGCAAAACUGAUCCGAAAUCCAAAUUUUCAUGAAUUUAUGUGCCCGGGAACCUAUUUAAAAAUCAGUUUGAAGUUUGUAUGGGAGCGAUUUGUUGAAUCACCCCACUGGGCGGAGCUGUCAAGCAGUUGGCCAGCUGUCAAAAGGUGAUUUCGAAACAUCUGUUCGAAAGAGAUUUUAAGUACCAAAAUUAGGUUCUAAAAAUCUGAAAAAAAUCAUCCCGCAUAGUGAAAAACAAUUUGUCUUAAUCUCCAAACAGUAAUUUUCUUGUAUCUGUUGUUGUUAAUGUAUAACAAACAGUUGCUUUUAUGUCGAAGAUUAUGAGGUUCGACGCAUUCAACUUUAAAUCACAGUCUAUGUAAUCCAUACCAAUUGGUGACAUUAUAUUACACUGUGCAGAUAUUGUUGAAUGUUAUGAUGAUGGAAACUCGCAAAUAAAGGUGGCAAUAUUAAAUCACAUUAUGUCAAACUGUUUGUGCUCCUUCUGUGCAACACACUGACACACAUGCGUAAAAACGGAUAGUUACUAAUGUUGAACAAUAUGACAAACAGUUGCACCCAUUAGUAUUAGUGAAUCAAUGAAAACUGGCUGACGGCUGCAAACUUUCAAAACAGAGAGAAACAAAUUGAGAGUAGAAAAAUGUGAAAAUUCCUAUUUUGUUUUAGAGAAGUUUGGUGAAUAUCUGCCGCAAAUAAUUGUUGCAUUAGAGCAUGAGUUCACGUGUUGUUAGCGACGGAACCGAAGCGGUUCCCACCAGGAGACGUUUAUAGCCGUCCUCAUUGGGGGCCUACACGGCAUCACUCCGGUGAUCAACUUCCUUUUCAUCUGGAAUGGCUGCCGUGUAUAUCGCGCAUCAUCCGGACGGCUCAGCAACGAGACAAGAUGUGCUUCGUCCACCUAUGGUGAGAAAUUUAUCAGCAGCAAGAUGCUGGUGUUUCUACGGAGGGACACUGGAUAGUGAAGUCUGCUGACACCGGUAUGCACGAACGACGACGGAGUUGGAGAAGCAGAAGGACACAUUUUAUAUAGGCAUAUGAGAUUGUAAUUAAUAAAUAUAAUUGUUU